rnacentral:rRNA from 1 species
UAGGGAAUCUUCGGCAAUGGGGGCAACCCUGACCGAGCAACGCCGCGUGAGUGAAGAAGGUUUUCGGAUCGUAAAGCUCUGUUGUAAGAGAAGAACGUGUGUGAGAGUGGAAAGUUCACACAGUGACGGUAACUUACCAGAAAGGGACGGCUAACUACGUGCCAGCAGCCGCGGUAAUACGUAGGUCCCGAGCGUUGUCCGGAUUUAUUGGGCGUAAAGCGAGCGCAGGCGGUUUAAUAAGUCUGAAGUUAAAGGCAGUGGCUUAACCAUUGUUCGCUUUGGAAACUGGUAAACUUGAGUGCAGAAGGGGAGAGUGGAAUUCCAUGUGUAGCGGUGAAAUGCGUAGAUAUAUGGGGGAACACCGGUGGCGAAAGCGGCUCUCUGGUCUGUAACUGACGCUGAGGCUCGAAAGCGUGGGGAGCAAACAGG